rnacentral:rRNA from 1 species
GAUGAACGCUAGCUACAGGCUUAACACAUGCAAGUCGAGGGGUAACGAGAGGAAAGCUUGCUUUCCUUGUCGACGACCGGCGCACGGGUGAGUAACGCGUAUCCAACCUGCCCCCAACUAAGGAAUAACCUUGCGAAAGUAAGACUAAUACCCUAUAAUUUCCUCAGAUGACAUCUGACGAGGAAUAAAGAUUUAUCGGUUGUGGAUGGGGAUGCGUCUGAUUAGCUUGUUGGCGGGGUAACGGCCCACCGAGGCAACGAUCAGUAGGGGUUCUGAGAGGAAGGUCCGCCACAUUGGAACUGAGACACGGUCCAAACUCCUACGGGGGGCAGCAGUGAGGAAUAUUGGUCAAUGGGCGAAAGCCUGAACCAGCCAAGUAGCGUGCAGGAUGAUGGCCCUAUGGGUUGUAAACUGCUUUUAUACAGGAAUAAAGUCAGCCACGUGUCGUUAUUUGUAGGUACUGUAUGAAUAAGGACCGGCUAAUUCCGUGCCAGCAGCCGCAGUAA